AUUGAACGCUGGCGGCAUGCUUUACACAUGCAAGUCGAACGGUAACAGGCCUUCGGGCGCUGACGAGUGGCGAACGGGUGAGUAAUGCAUCGGAACGUGCCCAGUCGUGGGGGAUAACGCAGCGAAAGCUGUGCUAAUACCGCAUACGAUCUGCGGAUGAAAGCGGGGGACCUUCGGGCCUCGCGCGAUUGGAGCGGCCGAUGUCAGAUUAGGUAGUUGGUGGGGUAAAGGCUCACCAAGCCAACGAUCUGUAGCUGGUCUGAGAGGACGACCAGCCACACUGGGACUGAGACACGGCCCAGACUCCUACGGGAGGCAGCAGUGGGGAAUUUUGGACAAUGGGCGCAAGCCUGGUCCAGCAAUGCCGCGUGCAGGAAGAAGGCCUCCGGGUUGUAAACUGCUUUUGUACGGAGCGAAAAGGCUCCCUCUAAUACAGGGGGCUCAUGACGGUACCGUAAGAAUAAGCACCGGCUAACUACGUGCCAGCCGCCGCGGUAACAC
rnacentral:rRNA from 1 species